CUUUAGGAAAAGUCCCAAGUACCCCUGACUGCAGCCCGCAGAUCGGGCGUGCCUCAACGUUGAGCCACGCCCACAUUGAGCCACGCCUCCCACGUUUGACUCCCUUCCGGGGGCCAUCUGGUGGCAGAGACUAUGAACGGCAAGUGGCCGCUCUGUGGACUGCUAAAGAAUAAUGUGCGCAGACGAAGACGAAAUAAAUCAGUUUGCAAAAUGGAGAGACAUGUCACUAUACUGCUGGAAGGUGAUACACCAACCAUGUAUCAAUGCACCAACAGUGGGCUAUUCCACUGCCCUUUUUGCAAGUAUGCGGCUGCAACGAAACUGGAUUAGACAGAGAAUUCACAAUCAUCAAGUGUGGCUUCAUUUGUCGCACUUCAACACAUUUCCAUUGCUGCUAUUGUGCAGAAACAAUUAUCAAUAGAUCACAGUUUUUAAGACACUUAGAAAAACCCCAGGAGGAGAAGCAUAACAAACAAACAAAGGCCCCCACUCAGCACUUUGCAGCCCCUGCAUAGAACCCACAGGCCUCCACUCAGCACCCAGCUGCCCCUGUACAGAACCCAGCGUCCUCAACUCAGAACCCAGCAGAAAAAAGACUCCAGGUGAGAGGUCAUGUGAUGAGUUAUUAUGUAGUCAAACUAUUACUUGAAGACAAAAGCCUAACCUCUCCACUUAUUUCAGGAUGUGGAAGAGGUCCCACUGAAAAGGUUCAGCCAUUCAGAAUCUGUCUCUGAAGCAUCAGGUAUUGUUCAAGCAGCUUUGUUGUUUACACAUCCAUCAAAGUUGUAGAGGUACAUCAUGUCACAGAGAGUCAUUUCUCCGUUUUCAUUAAACCAGUAUACUAAAAAUC